UAAGRGGAAUUWACCGCCAUUUUAACGCCCCGGCAGCAUAACGCGUGGUGAAAUAUUUCRAUAAYUACCACUACCUGUGCGUCAAACUAGCGAGACAUUACUGCUAAAACAGGGGAUUAGAGACCCCUUUAUACAAAUGCUCACAACAUCUUGCGGAGGACUACAACUAUCUGAGUUAAAACUUAAGCAACAUGGCGGUAAUUUUAAUUUAGGGGRACUUACUGAAUCAUUGAUAACCACCAAGGUCAACUAACUACACAAAAAUCUUGUAUGCCGUCGUCGUCAGGUAGCACUAAAGGUUCUACCUUGAUAGUACUCACUCAAAAGACAGAUCAAGGUGCAGACAAUUAUGUAGUUUUAGCGAGUUACAGUUUUUCCUAUCAACGAAUAUAUAAAUGUGUAACCUAUAUUGAAGACGGACUUAACAGUAAUAAACAUUAACUUUACYYUAUGAAAUUAU
rnacentral:rRNA from 1 species